rnacentral:rRNA from 1 species
AGUGAACGCUGGCGGUAGGCCUAACACAUGCAAGUCGAACGGCAGCACAGGAGAGCUUGCUCUCUGGGUGGCGAGUGGCGGACGGGUGAGGAAUACAUCGGAAUCUACUUUUUCGUGGGGGAUAACGUAGGGAAACUUACGCUAAUACCGCAUACGACCUACGGGUGAAAGCAGGGGACCUUCGGGCCUUGCGCGAUUGAAUGAGCCGAUGUCGGAUUAGCUAGUUGGCGGGGUAAAGACCCACCAAGGCGACGAUCCGUAGCUGGUCUGAGGGGAUGAUCAGCCACACUGGAACUGAGACACGGUCCAGACUCCUACGGGAGGCAGCAGUGGGGAAUAUUGGACAAUGGGCGCAAGCCUGAUCCAGCCAUACCGCGUGGGUGAAGAAGGCCUUCGGGUUGUAAAGCCCUUUUGUUGGGAAAGAAAUCCAGCUGGCUAAUACCCGGUUGGGAUGACGGUACCCUAAGAAUAAGCACCGGCUAACUUCGUGCCAGCCGCCGCAGUAA